UAGGUUAGGAGUCUCAAAUACAACAGUGUUGCGAGUUGUCGUUUCCCUAUUCCCUACUAUUUCGUCUUCUUCAACCUUCGCACAUACAGAGACUUAGAGAAUCACUGAACUGAGUCUUCCUUCAAACUUCGCACAACCGUCGACCGCCGGGUGCCGCCGCCACCGUAGCAAAGAGGAACUGCCGACCGCCACGGUUCUCACUUUCUCUCAUUCUUUGUUUCUCAGUCUGGCACUGACAAUCUUUCUCUCAUUCUCUGUUUCUUCCUUUGUUGCCCUCCGUUCGUCCAUUGACCACCGAGCGUUGCCACCACCGUAGCAGCAGACUUCCCAGUCWUCUUUCGUUCUUCGAUCUUCACUGUGUUUCUCGGUACUCUCUAUGUUCAAUACGAUAUGAUAGCUUUGUGUUUAGUACAUGUACAUGAAUUGGAAUUACUUUUACUUGGAGUUUGCUUCUUUGCUUUGCUUGGAACACGUGAAUGUCGAUGCUCUUCAAGGUUGCUUCUUGGUUGUUUCAUGGAUGAGCCAACUUCUUCGCCAUUUUGUUUGUAAUCGUGUAAAUUUCCAUAUAUUUUGAAUCUUUGAUACAAAUAUAUUCCUUUUCUCUUUUGUUCACACCCUAGAGCCCGUCCAUUCAAGAAUAGAAUUAGACCGUUAGAGUAGGAAGGUUGCGGGGUAGGUAUAUGUUUGGGAUUCUCCAUCGCUAACAGGGUUGGGGAUGGGGGUUGAAUUUUACCUCAAUACCAAGAACGGGGCGGGGAUUUUAACCACGGGGAGGGGAGCCCCGCCCCGUUGCCAUUCCUACACUCCACAAAUGCCCCACACACCGAGCGUCCACCACCUAUCCAUUCGCAUGCGGAAAUGCUUCUCGCGUGCGGGGCUAACGGGACAGCCGUUAGUUUGUCCCGUUAGCCCCGAAACUAGCUCAAAAGGUCAAAACCCUCGUUUCUACAUUCCCGCCCCCUCAAUUUAUACGUCUGCUUGAACUCCAAGACUCAUAUUUUGUUUUUUCAUUUCAAAUCAGAGAAAACACCGGCAACAGUGCUUUUUCUCAGGCACCGGCGAUCAUCCGGGUAACAAGCAUGUACCUGUGCAAGACGACAUGAUGAAGGACAGAUUUCCCCACAGCGGCAAUUACCCAUCGAGUGAAGACAACCCAAGGGACAAGUUGGUGCAGUGGUCACAUGGUGCCACCGGCAUGUCCAUCACCCUGUGCAAUGCAGCCCGGGUGUUCUCGUGUGACAGGGAAUUCCGUGAUGCAGCAAUAGAGGCAGGGGAAGUUGUAUGGAGGAAUGGGUUGGUGAGAAAAGUGGGGCUUUCCGACGGUGUUAGCGGCAAUGCGUAUGCCUUCCUUUCUGAUUUUAUUGACACGCAUGAGCAUUUGAUUCAUGUGCCUCAAUUGCUAAUGCUCAUCUUUGUAUCUGGCCAUCUGAGUAUCAAGCAUCCUUAUUUGAAUCGACUUUUCUGGUAAUGGAUGCCAUUGCCUCUGGUAAUCAACUUUUCUGAUAAUGGAUGCCGGAGAAAAAGCUAUGUUGCCGCCGGUUUCUCUGAUUUCUGAAAAACCGAAAUAUCAGAAAAAAAAAAAGAAAUGUGUGAAGAAGUUGAAAUAUAAGAACUGGAGAGUACCUCCGGAUGAUCGCCGGUGCCGGAGAAGAAGAAGAGAACUCGGGUGAGGGGAGAGGAACGAGGGAUCAGGGGACCAGCUGCACGAACUCGAGAGGAAGUGGGAAUAGGGUUUUGAGAUUUGAACUCAUAUGUUUUGGGAGUUUUGGGGCUAAGGUUCCGUUAGCCCCGCACGCGGGACAAGCGAAUAUCGUGCAAAGGGACAGAUGGCGCCGAACGGGCGUGUGGGGCAUCUGUGGGGCGAGAGCUGGUGGGGCGCAGAUUUGAACUCGAGUGAGGAAGAGUUCUGAGAGUAAGAAUGGUGCCUAAAGAAAUGCCGGACAAAAAUGUAGAUGCAGUCGCUGAGAAGAAAUGCAGCAAUGAUCGAACGCCUCUCCAAUCUCCACCAGUCUCGUCUCCAACAGUCCAUUUCUCGUAAGUCCGAUUCGACCUUAUCUCCUUUUGAGGUCGCUUCUCGGAAGCAAAACGAUCUAUUCAGAACGAACUUGAGUGCUGCCGCCAGGUCUCUGAUCCUGAUUUGAAAUCUCGUUUAAAAUCUGACCUUGAGAAGGUAUCAGUCUCCAUUGCCGAUCUUGAGAAGCUUGUCUCUGAGAAUUCUUACUUCUUGCCCUCCUAUGAAGUGCACUCGUCUCUGAAAGCAAUCUCUGAAUUGAAAUAAACUCUAGAAAGUGUGAAUUCUGAGGUAAUGCCGAAAGAGAAGUUGGAUUUCAAGAGUAAAGCGACAAAGAAAUAUCAAGGUAAUGUAGCUCAGGAAACUGAUAUCAAGGCUUCUGAUACGGCUUUAGCGGAAAAACCGAAUUUUCAGUUUCGGGACUCUGCUGGGUUGAGGAACAAGAAGGGUGAGUGAGGUUUUGGUUAAGCGUUUUCAGAUUUCACAGGAGGGAGAUUUCAUGCUUUCCGAUCUUAACUCCUGUGAAAUUCGCUUAAUAGGUAGCCUAAGAGCGCUCUUUGUUCAUCCCUUGAGGAGCUAGGGCGACGGAUUUCUAUCUUAGUGUUCGAAGUAGGCCAAUAAUCGAAGAAAGUAGCGGUGUGAGGUUUGCUCCAACCUUUUCUUUUAUGAAGGAAUCGAGAAAGAUCUUACAGAUUCAAGUCUUGAUGCUGAGACUGGAAAUUGGGAGUCCAGAUUCAGUGGACCUUGGGUUCACGGGAAGCGUGCACCCUCCAAUAGGAGGCGUGCAUGUCACCCACUUCAAAUUCAUCCUAAGGUUAACGGGCUUUUGGGCGUAAAUCAAUUGAAUCGGACAGAAAAAAAGACAAAAAGGCCAAAAAAAAAAAAUCUUUCUUUUGAAUUAUUUGGGAUUUGAGAGUUCAUUCGAACUCCCUCUCAUUUUCUCCUCCGAGCCCUAACCCAGAAGCAAACCACCGGCGAUUUCAUUGUACAGCCGACGCCCGUGAGCGUGAAGUACACCGGCGGUCAUCAGUCAUCAGAACGAAGGUCCACCAGGGAAACAGUCCAAUACCUACCGGCCAGCGUGGAUCACAUAAAUGAAAUUACCUUUUCUAUGGUACUUUUGUGGCAUCACUUCUUGGG